rnacentral:rRNA from 1 species
UAGGGAAUCUUCCGCAAUGGACGAAAGUCUGACGGAGCAACGCCGCGUGAGUGAAGAAGGAUUUCGGUUCGUAAAACUCUGUUGUUAGGGAAGAAAAAAUGUAUAGUAACUAUAUACAAAAGAGACGGUACCUAACCAGAAAGCCACGGCUAACUACGUGCCAGCAGCCGCGGUAAUACGUAGGUGGCAAGCGUUGUCCGGAAUUAUUGGGCGUAAAGCGCGCGCAGGUGGUUUAGAAAGUCUGAUGUGAAAGCCAACGGCUCAACCGUGGAGGGUCAUUGGAAACUAAUAAACUUGAGUGCAGGAGGGAAAAGUGGAAUUCCUAGUGUAGCGGUGAAAUGCGUAGAGAUUAGGAGGAACACCGGUGGCGAAAGCGGCUUUUUGGCCUGCAACUGACACUGAGGCGCGAAAGCGUGGGGAGCAAACAGG